UAUGAUAACAGUUUAUUUGAUCAAUCUCUUAAUCAUAUUCUCGAUUAUGUAUGAAAGUCAGGAUGAUUUGAACGAUCUUCGAUCAUCGAUUGCGAUUGUAUUUUAAAUAAUUUUGGUUCGGAAAAUUAGAACUUGUUAUUCGCAUUUGUUUGUAAUUUCGGCUCUCUCGGAUGACCACUGCGUGGCCCGCUUUGAACGGCACGAGCAAUGCCACGGGCCUGGCGCGAUUUGCUGAGCGCCGCUGUCUACGCGUGAUCUGAUUCGCGGCGAGCCGUGCGCCGCGCGAGAUGGCCGCUAACGCGCCAAUUUUCGAGCGCUCCCUUUGGAGACGCUCAAUCUCAAACAUCCCGCCCGCCUCGCCGAAACUCCGGCGACAUAGCACGCCGUUGGUUAGCGCUUUGUUGGCCCCCGCAUGGCGCGGCCCUGUGACUGGCCGUGAAUGAACGGCGCCGCGAGUUACGCACGAUGCUCGCGUAUGAUCCACGGUGGUCGAUCGGCGACACGUGUGGUCGAGAAUUGUGCAAUGCGCAGCGGAGUGCUACGGUGCAUCGGAGUGUCCGCCGAGACGAGACGGGACCGAGGCGGAGAUAUCGUGGCGUGAGACAGUGAUCGGUGAGUAUGAGUGAUUUGAUCGCAUAGGUAGCGCUAAUUAUAUGUAUAAUUAGAUACGGCGCGAGGCUCACCUAGCCUCACCUAAGCCGCGUGACGCCGAAUUCCACUCAUGGCUUGUAGAUGCGGGAAGCGAGACGCGGGAGCGCGAGCUGGAACGUCACAGCUGAUCGACUGUACAAGAGGCCGCAAAAGACGCCAGGUAAUUUUUAUGCAAUUUUGUUUACACGCUCGUGUUAAUUAUGCCGAUCGUACAGCAAAUUAUAAUGUUUCACUUUCGGAAAGCACAUGUACAUAUUUACAUCGCAAAAUACAGAUAUUCGCGCAUAAUAUGCAUCGCAAUUAUGUACUGCAUAAUGUGCUGUACAAUUAAUUUAGGCAGUCGUAUAAUACACCCCCUUUUUUUUGCAGCCCGACGGGUGGGCUCGUUAGGCGCGGUGCGCGGGCUCGUCCUCCUGCUCGUCGGAGCGACUCUCCGGCAGGAGGACGAUUUUCGCGAUCGGGCGCGUCAGCUCUGGCGCGGUGCGGAGGGUGACCACGCGGACUCGCCCGUCGUCUCCCGGAUGCACGCUGGUGAUCCGGGCGAGAGGCCAUCGGGUUGGCGGCGUGCUGUCACUCUGGCUGGGACAGAGCCGCCCGACUCGCGCCUCGGCGUUGGUGGUCCAUCACUUUGGGCGAUGGAGGAGGGAGCACUGGAGCUCCUGCGACCAGCGAUCCUAGAAGCGCGAUGACAGCCUUGGGCGAGCGAGGUCCGCGCCCUGUCGUCGUGUGUCGCUAGAUGAGGCCGGCGUGGUCCCUGCCGGUGCGCAGGGAUGGUCCUGCUGGGGCGACGCGAAGACAUGGCAGGUCCCCCAUGGUCCGCUGCUGCGUGGCCGCUCGCCAUCGCGCCCGGGCGACGCACUGCUUGCUCGCGGUUUUGGCUGGCCGCCGCCCUCGGGGACUCCAGAGUUGCGGUCUGCUGGACCCUAGGGUGAGUUGCACGUCUCCGUGGAAGGUUCGCCGGUGACAGGCCUCGACGAUAACUCGCGUGAGGUGCGAUGAGCUAGGCGGGGUCACCUGAUGCCUCUCGUCGCAAGCCAGUAGAGCGUGCUUGGGACGCCCGCCUACCCUGAGAAGUCUUGGUAACCCUUGGUGACCUGGAAGCAGGGUUGGCGGGGUCCUCCGCGGCGGAAGCCUGGCUGGAGGAUGCUCGCGCAGACGUCUGUCCCGAGGAGAAGCUCCACCGGAUCGGACGCGAAGAAGUCCGGGUCAGCGAGCUUCAGGCCAUCGAGGUGGCGCCACGACUGCCGAUCCGCCCGGAGGCCGCCGUUGUGCUUCGUCAGCCGGUCCAAGACGAACGCUGAUACCUGCAGGGGUGGGCCGUCGCGCAGCGGCGUGAGAGCGAGCUCAACCUGACCCCGAGUGCCGGUGGACCGCCCGCCAACGCCGACUAUGGACGUCAAGGCACGCCUUGAGGUAGUGCAGCUUCUCUACCGGGGCAGCGGAGGUGUCCUUCCCGAUGAGCGAGUGGAAGAGGUCGCGGAACGAAGGCCAAUCCUCGUAGAGUCCGGAAAACUGCAGGAGCUGGAUUCUCGGCAGGGUUGUUUGCGACGGCUGUGACGGAGCCGGUCCGACUGCUGGAAUCUCGGUCCUCUCCGCGGCUCUGAGGCGUCGUAGCGUGUCCAAGAACAUGCCCUUCUGCGUCAGGUAAGCCUCCUCUGCCAACGUUGGCAUGUCGGUUCUCACGUACGUGCUGUCCGACAGGGCUUCCCAGUGUUCGAGCAGCUUGUUGUGCUGGAACUCGAACUUCGCCCAGUUGGCCUCGAGGGUUUGGAGUCGCGCUUCCGCCAGCCCGAUCGUUAUGUUGGCGGUUUCCGACUUCCGCAAAUUCUCGUAUGCGCGGGAAAUGCGUCCG